rnacentral:rRNA from 1 species
CCUACGGGUGGCAGCAGUAGGGAAUAUUGCACAAUGGGGGAAACCCUGAUGCAGCAACGCCGCGUGAGUGAUGACGGCCUUCGGGUUGUAAAGCUCUGUCUUCAGGGACGAAUAUGACGGUACCUGAGGAAUAAGCCACGGCUAACUACGUGCCAGCAGCCGCGGUCAUACGUAGGUCGCGAGCGUUGUCCGGAUUUACUGGGCGUAAAGGGGUGGUAGGCGGACUUUUAAGUGAGCUGUGAAAUAGGGGGGCUAAACAUGUUCGCUACAUUUUAAACUGGAAGGCUAGAGUGCAUGAGAGGUGACUGGAAUUCCUAGUGUAGGAGUGAAAUCCGUAGAGAUUAGAAAGAACACCGAUAGCGAAGGCGAUUCACUGGGCCGUAUCUGACGCUAAGGCUCGAAAGCGUAGGGAGCAAACAGGAUUAGAUACCCCAGUAGUC